rnacentral:rRNA from 1 species
GAUGAACGCUGGCGGCGUGCUUAACACAUGCAAGUCGAACGGAAAGGCCCUGCUUUUGCGGCGUGCUUGAGUGGCGCACGGGUGAGUAACACGCGUGUAUCACGCACCUGACUUUGGGAUAACUCUAGGAAAAUCCGGCUCUUAUCGGAUAGGAGAUUCUGCUGCACGGUGGGGGUUGGAAAGUUUCGGCGGUUGGGGCUGGACUCGCGGCUUAUGCGCUUGUUGGUGAGGUAGUGGCUGACGAAGGUUGUGACGGAUAGCCGGCCUGAGAGGGUGGCCGGCCACAUUAGGACUGAGAUACGGCCCAGACUCCUACGGGAGGCAGCAGUGGAGAAUAUUGCACAAUGAGCGGAAGCCUGAUACAGCAACGCCGCGUUCGGGAUGACGGCCUUCGAGUUGUAAACCGCUUUCUCCUGUGACGAACCGUGAGUGACGGUAAUGAAUAAGAAAGCACCGGCUAACUACGUG